rnacentral:rRNA from 1 species
GUACGCUGGCGGCACGCCUAACACAUGCAAGUCGAACGCAGUAGCAAUACUGAGUGGCAAACGGGUGAGUAUAAUGUGGGAAUCUGCCUUUUGGUUUGGAAUAACACGGGGAAACUUGUGCUAAUACCGAAUAAGCCUUUACGGGGAAAGUUUUAACGCCGAAAGAUGAGCCUGCACUUGAUUAGCUAGUUGGUAAGGUAAAAGCUUACCAAGGCAACGAUCAAUAGCUGUUCUUAGAGGAAGACCAGCCACAUUGGGACUGAGACACGGCCCAGACUCCUACGGGAGGCAGCAGUGGGGAAUCUUGCACAAUGGGGGAAACCCUGAUGCAGCGAUGCCGCGUGAGUGAAGAAGGCCCUUGGGUUGUAAAACUCUUUCGUCGGGGAAGAAAAUGACUGUACCCGAAUAAGAAGGUCCGGC